CCUUAUGGCAAUUUACCUCCCUGUAGCAAAAGGGUGGGAAGACCUUAUGGUAGAGGCGAAAAACCUAACGAGCUUGGACAUAGCUGGUUGCUUGAAAAAGAAUUUAAGUUCACAUAAAAGCAUUUUUACCAUUAAGGAAAAAUUAACCUUUUACACUAAUUAAUUGAGUUACAGCCCAAUUAAUAAGGGAAACAUCCCACAUAAAUGAAUAAUGAUUUAUAAGAAACUAAGUCUAGUAGGCCUAAAAGCAGCCACCAAUAAAAGCGUCAAAGCUUCACUUAAAAAAACCCAAUAUUCCACUAAAUAAUCCUAAUUCAACAAAACAAUCAAGCUAAUCUAUUUCUAGAUGAACUACUACUAGAAUUAGUAAUAAGAAAUUAUUCUCUAAAAUACAAGCCUAUAUCAGAACGAACUAAUCACUGAUAAUUAAUGAAAUUAUUUCUUUAAUCAAGAGUAUAAUAACUAAUAACAUUAACCCGACACAGGAGUAUUUAAGAAAGACCUAAAGGUUAGAAAGGAACUCGGCAAACCCAGGCUU
rnacentral:rRNA from 1 species